rnacentral:snRNA from 1 species
GUGCUCAUUUCGGCAGUACAUAUACUGACUGGAUCCAUACAGAAAAGAUUAGCAUGGCCCAAAAUGCAAAUUCAUGAACCAUUCCAUAUUUAU